AAAAAAAAAGAACACCCAAGGUUCAAGUUGGUGCACAAGAUGUUCCUCCCAUGAAACCCCCAAGGCCCUCCUGAUCCCUUCAUCACCAAGCCCCAGUGGUGAACUGCACCUUCUCUGUCUGCUCACAACCCUCAGAUUGACAUAUUGGAACUUCCUUUCCCUUGACAUCUCUUUUAGUGUAUUUUAACCAGCCCCUUGCAUCUUGGUAGAAAUGAACCCCGUUUGGAAGGGGAGGGGGAACUUUGAAAAAUGUCUAAUCACGUUUUCCAAUGAGUCACUUUUUCUUCCUGGAAAUAAUGCUAGGUCAUAUUCCUAGAAACACUUUCCUGACUGAGUAGCCUUUCUGAAGAGGCUCCAUAUGUCCCCUUGCGCAAAGCUUUCCUUGGGGUCCCCAGCUUUAAGGUUCUGCCACAGUGCUGUUGGAAGCGUUGAUUUUUUUCACAGAUAAAAUGGGAGAGUUGACUUUAGUGAGAGAUAUUAAGAGGUGGAGGAGAGAACCUAACAAUGUGAGUCUUUACCAUGUGCCAAGCCCUGCAGAGGAUGCGUUAAUAAAGCCGGAGCUGCUCAUCGAAGUGAUGUGAUACCCAUAUGAGGUGGAAAAUAUUCAACGUCAUACCACGGAUGUGCAGAAGAAGAAAGAAAUCCUAUUUGGAAUGAAGUCAGGCAGUUGGAAUUUGCAGAAGGAAAUCCUGGCAGCCCGCGGUGUUUGAGGCAUUACAUAAACAUCUGAUAUUUGACUCUAACUAUCGGCACUUGGUGUCAGCAUAUAAAUGUUGGGUUGGAAAAGUAGACAAAUUGAUUUUCCAUUUCUCUCAUUCUAGUUUCUUCCUUUCAUUGAUGCUAUAGUCACGGAUCUUAUUACUAGCAUAACAGUCAGUAAUAUACACAUGUUAUUUCUCUGGUUAAAGAAUAAUUCUUUUCAAAGCUCCAUAAUGUGAUAAACUGACCCUGAAUUAUGACCAUAAAAAUAAUAAUUUACUCUUUUCUCCAAAGCUAUCAAAAAAUUCUCGAGCUCUAGAACCUAUAAACUGUCUAACCUUAAGCCAUUGUUAUAUAUUUUUCACAUUUUAUGAGUUAAAAUAGACUUGAGAGUUAAGAAGAGGAAAGUAUUGGUCCAUCUACUUCCCUGCCUGGAACACUAAGGGUCAGAGAGGUUAACUUACCUGUUCAAGGUGAAAAAAAUAGAAAGCAGGGCUAGAUUGCAAUUAAUGGUAUCUCCUCAUUACUUUUUUUUUUUCUCUCUCAGAAUCACGUUUUUGUAUUCCAGUAUAAAUAUUGAGUUUGAACGCAUGAAAAUCAUUUUCCUGGUAUGUAACAGGGCGGUUGGAUUUUGUUUUCCUUUCUGGCCUGUUUCCUGAGGCUGUUAAGAAGAGCCAGAGAUCAAGAAUUUGAGUCCUUAAAUGCAAAAUAAAAAGUAUUGCCAGUGGAA